CCUACGGGAGGCAGCAGUGAGGAAUAUUGGUCAAUGGACGGAAGUCUGAACCAGCCAUGCCGCGUGCAGGAAGACGGGUCUAUGAGUUGUAAACUGCUUUUGUACAAGGGUAAACCUGAAUACGUGUAUUCAGCUGAAAGUACUGUACGAAUAAGGAUCGGCUAACUCCGUGCCAGCAGCCGCGGUAAUACGGAGGAUCCAAGCGUUAUCCGGAUUUAUUGGGUUUAAAGGGUGCGUAGGCGGAUUGAUAAGUUAGAGGUUAAAUGUCCGAGCUUAACUCGGGAACUGCCUCUAAUACUGUUGAUCUAGAGAGUAGAUGCGGUAGGCGGAAUGUAUGGUGUAGCGGUGAAAUGCUUAGAGAUCAUACAGAACACCGAUUGCGAAGGCAGCUUACCAAUCUAUAUCUGACGUUGAGGCACGAAAGCGUGGGGAGCAAACAGGAUUAGAUACCCUAGUAGUC
rnacentral:rRNA from 1 species